GAUGAACGCUGGCGGCGUGCUUAACACAUGCAAGUCGAACGGAGAAAGGGUAGCUUGCUAUCUUUUCUUAGUGGCGGACGGGUGAGUAACGCGUGGGUAACCUGCCCUUUGCAGGGGGGAUAACAGUGAGAAAUCACUGCUAAUACCGCAUACCAACUUCUUUCGCAUGAAAGAAGUUUGAAAGAUUUAUCGGCAAAGGAUGGACCCGCGUUGGAUUAGCUAGUUGGUGAGAUAACAGCCCACCAAGGCAACGAUCCAUAGCCGGCCUGAGAGGGUGAACGGCCACACUGGGACUGAGACACGGCCCAGACUCCUACGGAGGCAGCAGUGGGGAAUAUUGCACAAUGGGCGAAAGCCUGAUGCAGCGACGCCGCGUGAAGGAUGAAGGUCUUCGGAUUGUAAACUUCUAUCAGCAGGGGAAGAAAGGGCCUAUGGCCUAUGACGGUACCUGACUAAGAACGCCCCGGCUAACUACGUGCCAGCAGCCGCGGUAAUCUCGU
rnacentral:rRNA from 1 species